UAACCUGGUUGAUCCUGCCAGUAGUCAUAUGCUUGUCUCAAAGACUAAGCCAUGCACGUCUAAGUACAAACUAAAUGAUGGUGAAACUGCAAAUGGCUCAUUACAACGGUUAUGAUGUACCCGGGAGUUCCGAUGGAUAUUUCCAGUAACACUAGAACUAAUACAUGUCCCUGCGUUUAUUAGUUUCGCACAGUCCGUCGCUGAGUCAUGGUAAACAGUUGAUCGACUCGACGUCCCGGAACAGUUUCCGCCCCAUCAGCUUCGAUGGUUGGGUAUUGGCCUACCAUUGCAACAACGGGUAACGAGGAAUUAGGGUUUGAUUUCGGAGAGGGAGCCUGAGAAACGGCUACCACAUCUACGGAUGGCAGCAGGCGCGCAAAUUACCCAAUGCAGACACUGUGAGGUAGUGACGAGAAAUAAUAAAGCGGGACUUCUGUUUCGCUAUUAUAAUGAGGAAUAACCAAAGGUCAUUCCGAUUAGCAACUGAUGGGAAAGUCUGGUGCCAGCAGCCGCGGUAAUACCAGCGUCAGUAGCAUAUAUUAAAAUUGUUGCAGUUAAAACGUCCGUAGUCUGUACGUCGUCCCAAACUCACUGCAGUCUUCCGUUUUCUUAAUUGAAUGCGGUAGUUUCUGCAGUCACUCCCUUGAUCAAAUUAGGUUGUUCAAGGUAGACCAAGUCUUCAUAUUUUCACAUGGAAUUGGGUGAGGGAACUUAAGAGUUUAAGUUUCUCGUCUUAGGAUCAUCCGGGGUCAUUCGUACUCGUCCGCGAGAGGUGAAAUUCUUGGACCGGACGAAGACGACCAGCAGCGAAAGCAUCUGUCAGGGAUGUUUUCUGCGACAAAGGACGAAGGUCAGGGUAUCGAAGACGAUUAGAUACCGUCGUAGUCCUGACUGUAAACUAUGCCAACUUGGGUCUUGCUGGGCGAUGCUUUGUGAGACCCACACAGAAAUGAAAGUGUAUGGGUUCUGGGGGUAGUAUGGACACAAGUCUGAAACUUGAAGGAAUUGACGGAAGAGCACCAUAAGACGUGGAGCUUGCGGCUUAAUUUGACUCAACGCGGGAAAACUUACCAGGUCAAGACAUGGGCGUGAUUGACAGGCUAAUGACUUUUCUCGAUUCCAUGGAUGGUGGUGCAUGGUCGCACUUAGUUGGUGCAGUGAUUUGUCAGGUUUAUUCCGGUAACGAACGAGACCUCAGCCU
rnacentral:rRNA from 1 species